rnacentral:rRNA from 1 species
UGCGCAGGUGGGCUUGUAAGUCAGUGGUGAAAUACUGCCGCUUAACGGUAGAACUGCCAUUGAUACUGCAAGUCUUGAAUAUGGUUGAGGUAGGCGGAAUGUGUCGUGUAGCGGUGAAAUGCAUAGAUAUGACACAGAACGCCGAUUGCGAAGGCAGCUUACUAAGCCAUUAUUGACGCUGAGGCCCGAAAGCGUGGGGAGCGAACAGGAUUAGAUACCCUGGUAGUCC